ACGCUGGCGGCAUGCCUUACACAUGCAAGUCGAACGGCAGCACGGAGCUUGCUCUGGUGGCGAGUGGCGAACGGGUGAGUAAUAUAUCGGAACGUACCCUGGAGUGGGGGAUAACGUAGCGAAAGUUACGCUAAUACCGCAUACGAUCUAAGGAUGAAAGUGGGGGAUCGCAAGACCUCAUGCUCGUGGAGCGGCCGAUAUCUGAUUAGCUAGUUGGUAGGGUAAAAGCCUACCAAGGCAUCGAUCAGUAGCUGGUCUGAGAGGACGACCAGCCACACUGGAACUGAGACACGGUCCAGACUCCUACGGGAGGCAGCAGUGGGGAAUUUUGGACAAUGGGCGAAAGCCUGAUCCAGCAAUGCCGCGUGAGUGAAGAAGGCCUUCGGGUUGUAAAGCUCUUUUGUCAGGGAAGAAACGGUGAAGGCUAAUAUCUUUUGCUAAUGACGGUACCUGAAGAAUAAGCACCGGCUAACUACGUGCCAGCAGCCGCGGUAAUACGUAGGGUGCAAGCGUUAAUCGGAAUUACUGGGCGUAAAGCGUGCGCGGCGGUUUUGUUAGUCUGAUGUGAAAUCCCCGGGCUCAACCUGGGAAUUGCAUUGGAGACUGCAAGGCUAGAAUCUGGCAGAGGGGGGUAGAAUUCCACGUGUAGCAGUGAAAUGCGUAGAUAUGUGGAGGAACACCGAUGGCGAAGGCAGCCCCCUGGGUCAAGAUUGACGCUCAUGCACGAAAGCGUGGGGAGCAAAC
rnacentral:rRNA from 1 species